UUGUGAGGUUAAGCGACUAAGCGUACACGGUGGAUGCCCUGGCAGUCAGAGGCGAUGAAGGACGUGCUAAUCUGCGAAAAGCGCCGGCGAGGUGAUAUGAACCCUUGACCCGGCGAUGUCCGAAUGGGGAAACCCAGUGCAAUCCGUUGCACUAUCGUUAACUGAAUACAUAGGUUAACGAGGCGAACCGGGGGAACUGAAACAUCUAAGUACCCCGAGGAAAAGAAAUCAACCGAGAUUCCCCCAGUAGCGGCGAGCGAACGGGGAGCAGCCCAGAGUCUGAAUCAGCUUGUGUGUUAGUGGAAGCGUCUGGAAAGUCGCACGGUACAGGGUGAAAGUCCCGUACACGAAAAUGCACAGGCUGUGAACUCGAAGAGUAGGGCGGGACACGUGGUAUCCUGUCUGAAUAUGGGGGGACCAUCCUCCAAGGCUAAAUACUCCUGACUGACCGAUAGUGAACCAGUACCGUGAGGGAAAGGCGAAAAGAACCCCGGCGAGGGGAGUGAAAAAGAACCUGAAACCGUGUACGUACAAGCAGUGGGAGCACCUUCGGGUGUGACUGCGUACCUUUUGUAUAAUGGGUCAGCGACUUAUAUUCUGUAGCAAGGUUAACCGUAUAGGGGAGCCGAAGGGAAACCGAGUCUUAACUGGGCGUUAAGUUGCAGGGUAUAGACCCGAAACCCGGUGAUCUAGCCAUGGGCAGGUUGAAGGUUGGGUAACACUAACUGGAGGACCGAACCGACUAAUGUUGAAAAAUUAGCGGAUGACCUGUGGCUGGGGGUGAAAGGCCAAUCAAACCGGGAGAUAGCUGGUUCUCCCCGAAAGCUAUUUAGGUAGCGCCUCGUGAACUCAUCUUCGGGGGUAGAGCACUGUUUCGGCUAGGGGGCCAUCCCGGCUUACCAACCCGAUGCAAACUACGAAUACCGAAGAAUGUUAUCACGGGAGACACACGGCGGGUGCUAACGUCCGUCGUGAAGAGGGAAACAACCCAGACCGCCAGCUAAGGUCCCAAAGUCAUGGUUAAGUGGGAAACGAUGUGGGAAGGCCCAGACAGCCAGGAUGUUGGCUUAGAAGCAGCCAUCAUUUAAAGAAAGCGUAAUAGCUCACUGGUCGAGUCGGCCUGCGCGGAAGAUGUAACGGGGCUAAACCAUGCACCGAAGCUGCGGCAGCGACGCUUAUGCGUUGUUGGGUAGGGGAGCGUUCUGUAAGCCGUUGAAGGUGGUCUGUGAGGGCUGCUGGAGGUAUCAGAAGUGCGAAUGCUGACAUAAGUAACGAUAAAGCGGGUGAAAAGCCCGCUCGCCGGAAGACCAAGGGUUCCUGUCCAACGUUAAUCGGGGCAGGGUGAGUCGACCCCUAAGGCGAGGCCGAAAGGCGUAGUCGAUGGGAAACAGGUUAAUAUUCCUGUACUUGGUGUUACUGCGAAGGGGGGACGGAGAAGGCUAUGUUAGCCGGGCGACGGUUGUCCCGGUUUAAGCAUGUAGGCGGAGGUUCCAGGUAAAUCCGGUACCUUUUAACGCUGAGGUGUGAUGACGAGGCACUACGGUGCUGAAGUAACAAAUGCCCUGCUUCCAGGAAAAGCCUCUAAGCAUCAGGUAACAUCAAAUCGUACCCCAAACCGACACAGGUGGUCAGGUAGAGAAUACCAAGGCGCUUGAGAGAACUCGGGUGAAGGAACUAGGCAAAAUGGUGCCGUAACUUCGGGAGAAGGCACGCUGAUAUGUAGGUGAAGCCCCUGCGGGUGGAGCUGAAAUCAGUCGAAGAUACCAGCUGGCUGCAACUGUUUAUUAAAAACACAGCACUGUGCAAACACGAAAGUGGACGUAUACGGUGUGACGCCUGCCCGGUGCCGGAAGGUUAAUUGAUGGGGUUAGCGGUAACGCGAAGCUCUUGAUCGAAGCCCCGGUAAACGGCGGCCGUAACUAUAACGGUCCUAAGGUAGCGAAAUUCCUUGUCGGGUAAGUUCCGACCUGCACGAAUGGCGUAAUGAUGGCCAGGCUGUCUCCACCCGAGACUCAGUGAAAUUGAACUCGCUGUGAAGAUGCAGUGUACCCGCGGCAAGACGGAAAGACCCCGUGAACCUUUACUAUAGCUUGACACUGAACACUGGUCCUUGAUGUGUAGGAUAGGUGGGAGGCUUUGAAGCGUGGACGCCAGUCUGCGUGGAGCCAUCCUUGAAAUACCACCCUUUAAUGGCUGGUGUUCUAACGUAGACCCGUAAUCCGGGUUGCGGACAGUGUCUGGUGGGUAGUUUGACUGGGGCGGUCUCCUCCCAAAGAGUAACGGAGGAGCACGAAGGUUAGCUAAUCCUGGUCGGACAUCAGGAGGUUAGUGCAAUGGCAUAAGCUAGCUUGACUGCGAGAGUGACGGCUCGAGCAGGUGCGAAAGCAGGUCAUAGUGAUCCGGUGGUUCUGAAUGGAAGGGCCAUCGCUCAACGGAUAAAAGGUACUCCGGGGAUAACAGGCUGAUACCGCCCAAGAGUUCAUAUCGACGGCGGUGUUUGGCACCUCGAUGUCGGCUCAUCACAUCCUGGGGCUGAAGUAGGUCCCAAGGGUAUGGCUGUUCGCCAUUUAAAGUGGUACGCGAGCUGGGUUUAGAACGUCGUGAGACAGUUCGGUCCCUAUCUGCCGUGGGCGCUGGAGAAUUGAGGGGGGCUGCUCCUAGUACGAGAGGACCGGAGUGGACGCAUCACUGGUGUUCGGGUUGUCAUGCCAAUGGCACUGCCCGGUAGCUAAAUGCGGAAGAGAUAAGUGCUGAAAGCAUCUAAGCACGAAACUUGCCCCGAGAUGAGUUCUCCCUGAGACUUAAAGUCUCCUGAAGGAACGUUGAAGACGACGACGUUGAUAGGUCGGGUGUGUAAGCGCAGCGAUGCGUUGAGCUAACCGAUACUAAUGAACCGUGAGGCUUAA
rnacentral:rRNA from 1 species